rnacentral:rRNA from 1 species
GACAGUCUCAGUUCGGAUUGAAGGCUGAAAUUCGCCUUCAUGAAGCCGGAAUUGCUAGUAAUGGCAGGUCAGCAUACUGCCGUGAAUACGUUCCCGGGCCUUGUACGCACCGCCCGUCACACCAUGAGAGUUGGGAAUACCCGAAGCCUGUGAGCCAACAGUUUCUGAGGCAGCAGUCGAAGGUAGAAUCAAUGAUUGGGGUGAAGUCGUAACAAGGUAGC